UCACACCAUGGGAGUGGGCUGCACCAGAAGUAGAUAGCUUAACCUUCGGGAGGGCGUUUACCACGGUGUGGUUCAUGACUGGGGUGAAGUCGUAACAAGGUAGCCCUAGGGGAACCUGGGGCUGGAUCACCUCCUUAACGA
rnacentral:rRNA from 1 species